CCAGCAGCCGCGGUAAUUCCAGCUCCGAUAGCGUAUAUUAAAAUUGUUGCAGUUAAAAAGCUCGUAGUUGGAUUUCUGGGGCCAGGACAAGAUUUCACUGAUGUGAUUCGAAUCCUGGACUCAUCCUUCUGUUAACCUUCGUGCUAUUCAUUUAGUACGUUGCGGGCUCAGAUACUUUACCUUGAGGAAAUUAGAGUGUUCCAGGCAGGCUUUCGCCGGAAUACGUUAGCAUGGAAUAAUAGAAUAGGACUCGUCCUUUUUGUUGGUUUGAAGGGCGCAGUAAUGAUUAAUAGGGAUAGUUGGGGGCAUUAGUAUUUAAUUGUCAGAGGUGAAAUUCUUUGAUU
rnacentral:rRNA from 1 species